GUCUACGGCCAUGCCACCCUGAACAAGCCUGAUCCCGUCUGAUCUCAGAAGCUAAGCAGGGUCGGGCCUGCUUAGUACUUGGAUGAGAGACCACCUAGGAAGACCAGGUGCUAUAGGCA
rnacentral:rRNA from 1 species